rnacentral:tRNA from 1 species
AUUAUUUUGGCAGAUUAGUGCGAUAGAUUUAGAAUCUUUAGAUGUAAUUCCCUAUUUUUUUUACAAAUAAUA